rnacentral:rRNA from 1 species
AGAGGUUUGAUCAUGGCUCAGAUUGAACGCUGGCGGCAGGCCUAACACAUGCAAGUCGAGCGAGAAAGCACUUCGGUGCGAGUACAGCGGCGGACGGGUGAGUAACGCGUAGGAAUCUACCCAGUAGUGGGGGACAACAGUCGGAAACGGCUGCUAAUACCGCAUACGCCCUAUGGGGGAAAGCGGGGGAUCUUCGGACCUCGCGCUAUUGGAUGAGCCUGCGUCGGAUUAGCUUGUUGGUGAGGUAAAAGCUCACCAAGGCGACGAUCCGUAGCUGGUCUGAGAGGAUGAUCAGCCACACUGGAACUGAGACACGGUCCAGACUCCUACGGGAGGCAGCAGUGGGGAAUAUUGCGCAAUGGGGGCAACCCUGACGCAGCCAUGCCGCGUGUGUGAAGAAGGCCCUAGGGUUGUAAAGCACUUUCAAUUGGGAAGAAAAGCUGCUGGUUAAUAACCAGUAGCCCUGACAUUACCUUUAGAAGAAGCACCGGCUAACUCCGUGCCAGCAGCCGCGGUAAUACGGAGGGUGCGAGCGUUAAUCGGAAUUACUGGGCGUAAAGCGCGCGUAGGCGGUUUGUUAAGUCAGCUGUGAAAGCCCUGGGCUCAACCUGGGAACUGCAGUUGAUACUGAUCGACUAGAGUACGAGAGAGGGAGGUAGAAUUCCACGUGUAGCGGUGAAAUGCGUAGAUAUGUGGAGGAAUACCAGUGGCGAAGGCGGCCUCCUGGCUCGAUACUGACGCUGUGGUGCGAAAGCGU